GGUAGGAGGGUCUGUGGAGGUGAAGCCUGUCCCCCUGAAGUAGCAGCCAAGGGUUCCUGGAUGGGAGGAGGCUUUUGUCCUCCAUGAGACUCCAGUAAAGUGUCUUAGGUGCUCACUUGGCUGGGGUAGGGAAAUUGGAAAGGAGGACUGGAGAGUGAUGGAGACUACAGAAAUUCUGGGGCUGUAGGCCCUGCGCAGCUGUGCAUCUUGGCUCUUCCCACUCAGAACCACGGCGCCCAGCUCCAGAUGUUGAGUCUUUUCGAACCCCAGCCCAUGCAGCCAGCAUGACUCAGGAAGAGGAGGUGGGAUUACAAAGAUCCAGGGACCAAGUGGAUAGCAACAAAUUCAACCCCAGGUCCUUCUUCCGUGUGGCUGGAGGAGCAACGGCACAAGCCAGUCUUGGCGUGGGACAGAAAACUCCUUUGCCUGUGGGACAUUAGUAGGAAACACUGAGAAUCCAGCCGGAGCUGUGCCACUCAGAGCAGGCCUGGUUUUUCCAGAAAAGCAACUCGACUGAAAGUUAAUUAAAAAAUGUAUUUAGUAAACAGUGAGGGGGUGGAGGAGAACCCCAAGGAACCAAGAUUUGAGAAAUAAAUGCUGCUUUAUAGAAACAGAGACAAUUAUCAUUGGUCUUGGAGGCACAGCGAAAUAGACAGGAGGCUCAUCAAGAGAGGAGACAGAAUGAAUUAGUAACAUCUCCAUGACAAUUAAAGAGAUAGCGCCCCAGAGUUGCAUCAUGAUCCAAGGCAUCUGUGGUGUCACCAGACCCGGCAGCUGUGCAUGGAGCCAUCAGACCGCUGCUCCUCUGGAGUCUGUCCGGAGGAAGUAACUCACUUUGGAGAGAGGCCAGGGCCAGUGAGGUGUUGGUUGCACCCCUGGUUUCCCACAGCCCUGCCACUGCUGUUUGUCACAGCAAAAGAAAAAAAAAAAGAGUAUGCGCUGUCUUAAAAGUCGCUCUGUGGGGAACUAAGUUAAUGCCAGCCUGCGGGAUCUUCACAACCGAGUAGAUGCUAAAACGAUGUUUAGAGACAUUAAGGAAAUCCGCAUGAUAAUGGCCAAUUUACUGUGAAUAAAGCCAGAAUGCAA